rnacentral:lncRNA from 1 species
GGUGCUUUGACAACAGAGAAAAUGUGUGGACCUUGCAGAUCUUAGUUUCAGAAACGUGCUCCUCUGCCUCCCCUUGGGUGGGGGUGUUUCUUUUACUGACUUAUGAGACUUUGUGGAAAGUCCUGGAUCAGUGACAUUCGAGCAGGAACCGCCCCUUCAUGCAGGAACCACAUCAAAUCAAGCUGCAGCUUGAUCGCCUUCAACUCCGACCGUCCUGGUGUACUGGGCAUUGUGCCUCUGCAAGGCCAAGGAGAGGACAAGCGACGCGUGGCCCACCUGGGCUGCCAUUCAGACCUAGUCACCGACUUGGACUUCUCGCCCUUUGAUGACUUCCUCCUGGCCACAGGCUCGGCUGACAGGACGGUAAAACUCUGGCGACUGCCAGGGCCUGGCCAGGCCCUGCCCUCAGCACCCGGGGUGGUGCUGGGCCCCGAGGACCUCCCAGUGGAGGUACUGCAGUUCCACCCCACCUCUGACGGCAUUCUGGUGAGCGCAGCAGGCACCACUGUGAAGGUCUGGGACGCAGCCAAGCAGCAGCCCCUGACAGAGCUGGCAGCCCAUGGGGACCUGG